GUGAACCAGGCCAGGAGCGAGCUGGGUUGGUGGAAAUGCCGUCUUCAAAGGAGGCUGGAAGGUCAUCAUUCUUCUUCUCUACCUUACAAGGAAGAACAUUCUUAGAGGACACAACAGAUUGGAGAAUCAUUUAGCAAAUGUUUACUUGCUUCCAUCUAUCUUGGGGCAGAGCAUACCUUGACCAUUAUCUUACUUUGCCAAUGGAAGGCCCCAGGACUAGUCAUGUGGAACAGAUCCAAGCCCAAAGUGAAGCCAGAGCUGCCUCCUAGCCCACCCACAGACCUGUAAUCAAGAAAAAAAAUGCUUAUUUUCUCUCUCUCUUUUUUUUUUGGUACUGGGGAUCGAAGGUCCUUGCGCUUUCAAGGCAGGCGACAGAACCACUGAG
rnacentral:lncRNA from 1 species